rnacentral:lncRNA from 1 species
ACAGUCGGGGAAAGCGCCAUAUGACUGGUCAAUAGAGAGGUUGUUCACGGCGCCGCACCGCGACGUCACAAGCACGUUCUACACAAUAGACCAUGGUAGCGUUAGAGCGGCCAACGCAGCAAGAUUCACUGACCGAAGGAGAGAUUGGAACAAGCAUCAUGCAGGCAUACAAACCUUUGAAGCGUUCUAGCCACGAUGAGGGGGGAAAUCGGCUGUGAUGGUCACCAAGCCGAGCAGAUGGCACACAGCAUAGGAGCAAAUCAGGUUUGGGGUUUUUGGGAGGGAGGUUACCCAGGCUGAACACUACCACUCCACUCAUACGAUGACCACGAGUUAGAGCUCAAGGGCAGGGGAAAGACUUCACACAACCAAGCCCUAGUGCAACUGAUCA